rnacentral:rRNA from 1 species
UACGUAGGGACCGAGCGUUGUCCGGAAUCACUGGGCGUAAAGGGCGCGUAGGCGGCUUCUCAAGCGUGUGGUGAAAGUCCGGGGCUCAACCCCGGAUCGGCCGUGCGGACUGGGGAGCUCGAGUUCUGUAGAGGCGGGUGGAAUUCCGGGUGUAGCGGUGGAAUGCGUAGAGAUCCGGAAGAACACCGGUGGCGAAGGCGGCCCGCUGGGCAGAGACUGACGCUGAGGCGCGACAGCGUGGGGAGCAAACAGG